CCAAUUUGAAUCGUAUGAACCUAAACUCCUAAUUACCUGCAAAAUAGGCUAAAGAGCAUCAAAUUUUAAUAAAAUAAUAUCAAUUAUCAUAAUAUCUAAUGUCUCUAGUGACUUAAAUUAAGUGUUCAUCACACCUCCAAUUUGAACUUUACUUGUCCUUGAGUAAAAUAGAUACAUUAGCAUUGUGUACCAAAUUAUUCUUGAAUCAAAAGUCAUCCUAGGCAUUCUUAAUUGUAGUGGAUAUCCGGCUAGACCAUUAAAGAGGUACUUCAUUAGAUUACUAAUUC
rnacentral:lncRNA from 1 species